UGGGAAGUGAUGAAGCCUUUGACUGCUGACAAUACACUGAUCUCUGUCGUAUUCGUACUGGCUGAUCCCG
ensembl:snoRNA